rnacentral:misc_RNA from 1 species
AUUUAAUUUGCGUGAGCGAUAGUAGCGAAAAGCCCACAGCCCAUAUAACAAUGUUUAUUGUAAUGUGGGCGAGGACUUGAACCGAAUAGCGCGGUGCCUC